CCGGAGUGGCGAAAUUGGUAUACGCGCCAGGUUUAGGACCUGGUGCCGCAAGGCGUGGAGGUUCGAGUCCUCUCUCCGG
rnacentral:tRNA from 1 species